GAGACCUCAGGUCAGGCGGGGCUACCCGGCUGAGUUUAAGCAUAUCAAUAAGCGGGAAGG
rnacentral:rRNA from 1 species